rnacentral:rRNA from 1 species
AACGAACGCUGGCGGCAGGCUUAACACAUGCAAGUCGAACGCCCCGCAAGGGGAGUGGCAGACGGGUGAGUAACGCGUGGGAACAUACCCUUUCCUGCGGAAUAGCUCCGGGAAACUGGAAUUAAUACCGCAUACGCCCUACGGGGGAAAGAUUUAUCGGGGAAGGAUUGGCCCGCGUUGGAUUAGCUAGUUGGUGGGGUAAAGGCCUACCAAGGCGACGAUCCAUAGCUGGUCUGAGAGGAUGAUCAGCCACAUUGGGACUGAGACACGGCCCAAGCUCCUACGGGAGGCAGCAGUGGGGAAGAUUGGACAAUGGGCGCGAGCCUGAUCCAGCCAUGCCGGGUGAGUGAUGAAGGCCUUAGGGUUGUAAAGCGCUUUCACCGAUGAAGAUAAUGACGGUAGUCGGAGAAGAAGCCCCGGCUAACUUCGUGCCAGCAGCCGCCGUAA